rnacentral:rRNA from 1 species
CACCGGCGGCUCGAGUGGUGGCCACUUUUAUUGGGUCUAAAGCGUCCGUAGCCGGCUUGGCAAGUCCCCUGGGAAAUCUGGCGGCUUAACCGUCAGGCGUCCAGAGGAUACUGCCAGGCUUGGGACCGGGAGAGGUGAGAGGUACCUCAGGGGUAGGGGUGAAAUCUUGUGAUCCCUGAGGGACCACCAGUGGCGAAGGCGUCUCACUAGAACGGGUCCGACGGUCAGGGACGAAAGCUGGGGGCACGAACUGG